rnacentral:rRNA from 1 species
GACGUAGGUGGCGAACGUUAUCCGGAAUUAUUGGGCGUAAAGGGUGCGUAGAUGGCCUGAUAAGUUAGCAGUGGGAAAUCGAGGCUCAACCUCGUGGAAGCUGGUAAUACUGUCAGGCUCGAGUGCAGGAGAGGUUAACGGAACUCCAUGCGGAGCGGUAAAAUGUGUAGAUAUAUGGAAGAACACCAAUAACGGCGAAGGCAGUUAACUAUUCUGUUACUGACAUUGAGGCACGAAAGCGUGGGGAGCAAAACGG